rnacentral:rRNA from 1 species
AUACGUAGGGGGCGAGCGUUGUCCGGAAUGACUGGGCGUAAAGGGCGUGUAGGCGGCCGACUAAGUCUGGAGUGAAAGUCCUGUUUUCAAGGUGGGAAUAGCUAUGGAUACUGGUUGGCUUGAGUGCGGAAGAGGUAAGUGGAAUUCCCAGUGUAGCGGUGAAAUGCGUAGAGAUUGGGAGGAACACCAGUGGCGAAGGCGACUUACUGGGCCGUAACUGACGCUGAGGCGCGAAAGCGUGGGGAGCGAACAGGAUUAGAUACCCUGGUAGUCCACGCGGUAAACGAUGAAUGCUAGGUGUUGCGGGUAUCGACCCCUGCAGUGCCGGAGUCAACACAAUAAGCAUUCCGCCUGGGGAGUACGGCCGCAAGGUUGAAACUCAAAGGAAUUGACGGGG